GACGAACGCUGGCGGCGUGCCUAAUACAUGCAAGUCGAGCGAAGUUUUUCUGGUGCUUGCACCGGAAAAACUUAGCGGCGAACGGGUGAGUAACACGUAAAGAACCUGCCUCAUAGACUGGGACAACUAUUGGAAACGAUAGCUAAUACCGGAUAACAGCAUUAACUGCAUGGUUGAUGUUUAAAAGUUGGUUUUGCUAACACUAUGAGAUGGCUUUGCGGUGCAUUAGCUAGUUGGUGGGGUAAAGGCCUACCAAGGCGACGAUGCAUAGCCGACCUGAGAGGGUGAUCGGCCACACUGGGACUGAGACACGGCCCAGACUCCUACGGGAGGCAGCAGUAGGGAAUCUUCCGCAAUGGGCGAAAGCCUGACGGAGCAACGCCGCGUGAGUGAAGAAGGAUUUCGGCUCGUAAAGCUCUGUUGUUAGGGAAGAAUAAUUGUGUAGUAACUAUACACAGUAGAGACGGUACCUAACCAGAAAGCCACGGCUGACUACGUG
rnacentral:rRNA from 1 species